CAGCAACAGAAGUUCUGCAUUUGAGUCUUAGCUGAUUGGAACAGCAGGGGAGACAGUGAAAUUAGUAACAGGCAAAGAGAUGCUCCACGUUGGUCUUCAUCAUCAUUUAAAAAAUUGCCUUUUGAGUGGAAGGGGAAGACGUGUUUUAAAAAGAACUUAACUUGUGUAAGCAAAUCCAGGGCUGCCACUUGAGAGUGCAGUUCUGCAGAGAAACACCUAAAGGAGAAGCUUCAUCUGAAGUGGCCUUGACCACCUUCCUCCCUGGGUGCUUCCUACCACCACAUUAACAGCGAUGAUCCAAUGGUGACGUGAUGGACCGUGACCGGAGUGGUGCGUCUCGGUGCUGUGAUGCAGGCCCAGUCAUCUCCCUCAGAAAGUCAUUCCCUGUGCAUGGCUGGCCUGAGCCAACUUACUCCGUGGCAACGUGCCCAUUGUUUGCUGUGAAUUUAGAACCUGAAGCUAAGGAUGAAAGCCCUUGUCAGCUGUGCAGUACCAGUGGUCAGAUGGUCUGUCGCAUCUUGUAGGCUUAACAGUUUUGCUGAUAAAUCUAACUCGAUGCUAAUGGAUGUGCUGUAAUACAAUAUGGAACAGAAGCUAGGACCCCGUGGCCUGUCAUGGACCAUGUAAUUUAUGACUGAAGCAUCUCAGGUAUUUAUGCUGACAAGAGAAAUACUUGAUGUUUCCUGCUAAUGUGCUAGCCCACUCUUCUGAUUCUAGAUGUUUUUUUUGGCCUAUUUUAUUUCGUCUCUCUCCUUUACCAUUCCUGCCACCUACUCUGUCACUCAGAGCUGCCAGUGCUCUUUUGCUUCUGCUGCCCCAUUUAACAGUGAGAGCAACUGGAGGACUGCAAUGGUUUGCCUGGAAAUAAAAUAGAUUCUCUCAUCA
rnacentral:lncRNA from 1 species